UGGUGCGAGGACGACGACGAUGACGAUUAAAGGAGGGAGCUUUACACCAAGGACUCAUUCAAAGCGGCCAAUUCCAAAGAGGGGAAGGGUGAAGGCCGGG